rnacentral:rRNA from 1 species
UACGUAGGGUGCGAGCGUUGUCCGGAAUUAUUGGGCGUAAAGAGCUCGUAGGCGGUGUGUCGCGUCGGCCGUGAAAACCUGCAGCUUAACUGUGGGCGUGCGGUCGAUACGGGCAUCACUGGAGUUCGGCAGGGGAGACUGGAAUUCCUGGUGUAGCGGUGAAAUGCGCAGAUAUCAGGAGGAACACCGGUGGCGAAGGCGGGGUCUCUGGGCCGAUACUGACGCUGAGGAGCGAAAGCGUGGGGGAGCAAAACAGG